rnacentral:misc_RNA from 1 species
GAUCCGAAUUCGUUGGUGGUGCCGCGUUGAGCUGAGGAUUUCGAUUCGAAAUUGUCCGGGACUGUUUAAUUUCAAUGAGGCAAUAGUUGCCACAUUUGUAGUCAGAUGACAGCUCGACGGGCGUUGGCGUGGUUCUCUAGGGUUCCCGUUCUCUAGUUGGCGACUUUAGUCGAUCUAUUUCUAUUCUAUUCCACGUCUUUAGGUUCGCGAUUAAUCGAGGGAGGGGUACUUUUUGUACGCCGUGUUUGCCGUGUCGUUUUGGUUGGACGUGAUGACGUCAGACUUCGAGACACAAGCUGUGUUUGAAGCCGAGAAGGGCGUGAAAGUGUGUUGUGCUGGUCGUUUUAUAUCAAUCAUUUUAUUAGAAAUGUGUGCAAAUAGAGUAACGUCUGAGUGAUUGGUAGAUUAGGUUCGAUGCUGUGUUUGUGUGAUCGAAAACAUGUUUCGUUGUAUACCAAUUUUUAAAGGGUGUAACAGGCAGGUGGAAUACGUUGACAAGCGUCACUGCUCGCUGCCGAGCGUUCCAGAAGAUAUUCUACGUUAUUCACGUAGUUUGGAAGAAUUACUACUAGACGCCAACCACAUUCAAGACUUACCGAAGAAUUUCUUUCGUCUGCAACGACUGCGAAGAUUAGGAUUAAGUGACAAUGAGAUUCAUCGUUUGCCGCCCGACAUUCAAAAUUUCGAAAACCUCGUGGAGUUGGACGUAUCGAGAAACGACAUACCAGACAUACCUGAGAACAUCAAAAAUUUGCGAGCUCUACAAGUCGCUGAUUUCAGCAGCAAUCCUAUUCCCAGAUUGCCGCCUGGGUUUGUGCAGCUGAGGAAUCUCACCGUUCUGGGUCUAAAUGAUAUGUCACUCACUAACUUGCCAUCUGAUUUUGGGAGCCUAGAAGCACUACAAUCACUGGAGUUGAGAGAAAAUUUGCUCAAAUCACUACCAGAAUCACUUUCCCAGUUAUCAAAACUUGAACGAUUAGAUCUUGGUGACAAUGAGAUUGAAGAACUACCAGUACACAUCGGAAAAUUGCCAGCACUUCAAGAGUUGUGGUUAGAUCACAAUCAGCUGCAGCAUUUGCCACCUCAGAUUGGCGAGUUGACCACUCUCGCGUGCCUAGAUGUCUCAGAAAACAGAUUGGAGGAUCUCCCUGAAGAAAUUGGUGGUCUCCGGUCACUUACAGACUUGCAUUUAUCUCAGAAUGUCAUUGAAAAAUUACCAGAUGGUCUUGGUGAACUAAAAAAACUAACCAUAUUGAAAGUAGAUCAGAACAGAUUAUCAACACUGAAUCACAACGUCGGAAGAUGUGAAAAUCUCCAAGAGCUGAUUUUAACCGAAAAUUUUCUUUUGGAACUUCCCACAUCUAUAGGAAGUCUGUUGAAAUUGAAUAAUUUGAAUGUCGAUCGGAAUAGCCUCCAGUUUCUACCUACAGAAAUCGGAAAUUUACGAAAGCUAGGAGUUCUUUCUCUGCGCGAUAAUAAGUUGCAAUAUCUUCCAACUGAAGUUGGCCAAUGCACGGCUCUACACGUCUUGGAUGUCUCUGGAAAUAGGUUACAGUACUUGCCAUACUCCUUGAUCAACUUGAAUCUAAAAGCAGUCUGGCUAAGUGAAAACCAAGCACAGCCAAUGCUCACAUUUCAAACAGACAUAGAGGAAGAAACGGAACAGGAGGUACUUACAUGCUUUCUUCUACCACAAAUGGAGUUCCAUCCUGACAAUCAACAUGACAGAGGUAGAUUGGGAAUGUUGGCUGGCAUUAGGGAUGCAAUCGAAGGUGAAGAAAUGAGAGAAGUAGGGAGUAGUGACGACGAAGGUUGGCAAGAGAGGGAAGCAUCACGCACACACUCUGUUAAAUUCACAGACGAUGCCCCAGACGCCGAUAAAGAGACACCGUUUGUCCGUCAAAAUACGCCACAUCCCAAGGAAUUGAAAGCCAAAGCUCACAAGUUAUUCAGUAAAGGGAAAAAUGACAGUCGUUCUGGAUCGACCGAUGAGCAGGAUGUGUCUCAAACUUUUGGACUGGACAAAAUGGAACCCGAGGUAGCAAUAAAAGUAUCAGAUCGAGACAAUUUUGUCUCUACAGAGGAGGAGCCACAAUCUUUACAAACUUAUGAAGAGAUGCCAAAAGUUGGAACUAAAGUCUCGGUGACUGAGACAUCAAACAAACUGGAUGAUAUUCCUGUUUCAAACGAACCCGUUGGUCUUCCUAUCCAGCCAUCUCUGGAUCCCGAUUCUCUGGAGCAGAAGGUGGAUGUCCAAAAAUCAGUACUUGCUGCUGUUGUCAGGGACGAGGAUUCCGAGGGAGAUGAUAUGCAAAGGCAUGUUGAAUUUUCAGUAACAGAAGAUUCAAAUAAUGAAAUAAGUGUCAGUGAUGUGGGCAAACCGAACAGGUUGCAUCGCCGAGACACCCCCCAUCACUUGAAAAAUAAACGAAUCCACACUUCCAUUGAUAAGGAAAAAGUUGCCUCCAUCAUUGCACAGGCUUUGAUGAAAAAGAGCGAUGACCUUCCGGUAUCUCCUUCACCCCAUAUAGAUUCUAUGGAAGAUCAGCAAUGUCCAGAUAGAAUGUCAGAUGCCGAGCCACCAAUAGGACUGCGGGAAGAACAGUAUGAAAUUCACAUUGAACGAACAACAGGAGGGCUGGGAUUAUCCAUAGCUGGUGGUAGAGGAUCAACACCUUUUAAGGGGGAUGACGAAGGAAUUUUCAUCUCACGUGUUACAGACGGCGGACCUGCGGAUUUAGCUGGUCUCAGAUUUGGGGAUAAAGUGAUAGCUGUUAACGGCGUAUCAGUUGUAAACGUAGACCACUAUGAUGCGGUUGAAGUUCUAAAAGCCUGUGGCCAUGUUCUUGUCUUGGUUGUUCUUAGGGAAGUCACUAAGACAGUACCGCCAUUUGACCAGGCAUCAUUAAGGAAAGACUCAGUCUGCUCAAGUUUGAGUACCAGCCGAGCUCCCAGUGCAACGUCAUAUGUAUCCUCAACCGAACUCUCUCACAAUCUUGAAAACGGAGAUAGUCAAACACCUCAUGAUACUCCCAAGAUGAAAAAAGUCCCUGACUCCAUACCAGCUGCUAGAGCGAGUAACGAACCGAUGAUGCCUGUAUUGGUUCACACGACACUUAUUCGAGACCAAAAUGGGUUAGGUUUCAGUAUCGCUGGAGGCAAGAGUUCUCCAUCUUUUAAAGACAAUACCGAUGCAAUAUACAUUUCAAGAAUCACAGAUGGAGGGGUCGCGCAAAAAGAUGGAAAAUUAUUAGUUGGUGAUAAAGUCAUAUCGAUAAACGGUGUUGAAAUGACAGGGGCAAAGCACCAACAAGCUGUGGGUAUGCUUACUGGUCUGGAGAGGUUCGUUCGACUGGUGGUUGAACGUGAAAUACCUUUCUCCCAGGCAAACCCAGGCAAUCCACAAACGCCAUCUGAAAAAUCUCCUCGUGUUAUCGGAGCACCGCGACCUUACACGGGACUUUACAAUGCUAACAGUUAUAUGGCGAAUAGGCCCGGGUAUGCGGGCUACCGUCGUUCCAUCGAUGGUGAUACUAAUUUAUCGCCAAGCCCGACAUCUAAAACACCGCCACCAACAAAGUCCGAUGUGGUAAACGGAGCUUCGAAAAUGAACGGAGUUACGGAACUUGUAAAUCCACUCAGAAAUGUCGCACCAACGUCAUCAGGCGUUAGUAGUGCGAGCCAGCCACAACCACAACCAGCUCCAAGAUACAGUGUUUCUCAAACAGAAUCCGUUGCUGUACCCAAGUCGACUGUUGUUGAGACAGAAUCGAGAUCAGGCUCACCACAGGAGGAUAUACAGGUACCGAAGCCAAUCACCAACGAGGAAUUUCAGGCCAUGAUCCCUGCUCAUUUCCUCCGACCUCCGACAUCCUCGCCCUCGCCAGAAUCCCAUCAGGGCCCCGUCGUCACAGUGACUAUCAAGCAACCCGAUAACCUUCCAAGGGAUAUUAACUUCCUCCCGGCGCCAACCACCAUUGGCAAAGUUACCGAGACCAUCACAAAGAGUACUCUUACCGAAACAGUGGUCACUAGAAUCACCGACAACGAGCUGGUUCAGCCAGUCAUCAUUGAGGACGUGGUACUGGUGAAGGAAGGAUCACUUGGAUUUAGUAUUAUUGGAGGAACAGACCACUCAUGCACACCAUUUGGAGUGAAAGAACCCGGCAUUUUCAUAUCCCACGUUGUGCCUGAUGGUAUAGCAGCAAAGUCUGGAAAACUUAGAAUGGGUGAUAGGAUUUUGAAAGUAAAUGGAACGGAUGUCACAAAAGCCACUCAUCAGGAAGCUGUGAUGGAACUUCUCCGGCCUGGUGAUUCAAUUACCCUUACCAUCCAGCAUGAUCCACUACCAGAUAGUUAUCAGGAAUUGACAAUAGUAAAAGAACCGGGAGAAAAACUUGGCAUGCAUAUAAAAGGCGGACUGAGGGGGCAACGAGGAAAUCCACUAGAUCAUACGGACGAGGGUGUCUUCAUUUCAAAAAUAAACUCCGGAGGUGCAGCUAAGAAAGACGCCAAAUUGAAGGUUGGAAUGAGGUUAUUAGAAGUGAAUGGUACAUCUUUACUGGGUGCCACACAUCAAGAAGCAGUUAAUAUUCUCCGAUGUUCGGGGAACUUGAUAACCUUGGUAGUUUGUAAAGGAUACGACAAAAACGAUUUGGAACACGCAUUAUACAUGUCCGGAGGUAGAGACUCGAAGGAGUCUAAAGUAUCUCGAGAGUAUAAAGACUCGACGGCUGAUGAAAUCAAGUCUUUGUCGCAGAGUGUGUCCAGUUUGGAUCGUGACGAUGAGGACACAGCGACACUUCGUCAAGAACAAGAAAUGAAAGCUGAAUUAGUUGCGUGGGAACAAGAAGAGCAAGAAAGAACCCUCAUAGAAUACAGAGAAAAAUCUACUCCUGAAAAAGUAUUAGACGUUGUGAGAGCAGCAGAAUCUUUGGUGAACAAGCCAAAUAGCCCAGUUGACUUGCUCGUGCCUCCAAAAUCCCCAGGUGGUACAAAGGACUUGAAAACAACCACUAUAGUGAUGACCAAACACACCUUAGCACCCCAAAAUGCUACUUUGAUUAGCAAAGAGGAGGCUGCAGGAACAUCCGUGGAUGGUCCCGUAACACCACCUUCACCCAUCUCUUCUAUUCGUUCACAUCCACAUGUUACAACGACGGACUACAAUCAGUCUAUUACCACACAAACCCUUCCUUCUCUUUGCCCUUCUACUAAAAAGUUAUUAAACGUACCUAAGCGAAGUGUUAACUUUGCAACUCUUCCCAUAUCUUUGAAUAAAACUGAAAUGACGGACAACAAGCGUCAUCCUCAAGACUCCUCAUCAUUCAAUGCUCGUACAACACUGAUCGAUUCAUCCAUUCCUUAUAUCAAACCUCCAUGCUUUCGAUCAGUGCAACAUUCUGUUACUACAUUGCUUUCUCCAAAUGAUGUUGAGUCGCCAAAACGAUUCUCCCUUGAUAACCUUCCAAUCAAUUCCCAUCAAGGUCCUCGAUAUACUCGACUGCCUCCGACUCCUUUGACAAGCCCUGGGUAUAUGGAAGGAAUAAGUUCCUCCUUUCCCUUUAAAGAAAUACGACAGAUUGCACGCUCUGUUCAUGGGAUAUCUCAGGUUGAGCCCACACCCACACCGUCUCCAACCCCGGCUCCAGCAAAAAUGUCUGUCAGUGAUCGGAAAAGACUAUUCGAAUCAGCUAUGGAAGAGCAUCUUAAACCUUCUCCAAAGCCAGAAAAAGUCUUCAGUUUUUUGAGCCAAGACGAAGUAGAAAAGAUGAAGCAAGAAGAAGAAAGAAAAAUAGCCACUUUAACCAGAGACGAAUUGAAAUCAUGGUCCCAAAUAGAUGAAAAUGAGGGUUUAGAAGAAUCUGAGGAUAUGAUGGAAGACCAGAACAACGGAAGACCUAAUAGCAGACUGAGCUCACGAAGCCCUCAUCCUCUUCUCCACAAUGCACCCAGCAUCGUCAGGACUGCCAAAGCUGAGCGACGCUUGAAGGAGAGAAUGAUUCAAGAGGGACUAAUAUCUGAUGAGGAUGAAGAAAGUCAUCUAACCCCUGCGGAACAGCGAGCUUUAAGAGCUGAAAAACGUGCGGCUUGGCGACAAGCUCGACUCAAGUCACUCGAGCAGGACGCUCUCCAGGCACAACUUGUGAUUAAAAAGAUGAACGAAAUGAUGGACACAUCAGGGAACACCAAAGUUGAAGAUACAACAGUGGAAUUAACAGAGCCCCUUGCAGAGCCAGAGAACGUAGCAGAAUUUGCUACAUUACGGCCGUCUAGCGCAGAUUUUCCUAAACUUGCUGUACGCAGCAAAGUCGGUCCUCCAAAAGCAGUACGUGAAUGUGAAAAAGUAGUGGAUGAAAAGGUCACUCGACGCACUGAGGAGUAUGUGGAUGAAGUAACAGGCGAACGCCGUGUACGAACUAUUGAAUACGUCGAGAAGCUGAUUGAGCGCGAGAUUCCAACACCCUCACCUGGAAUGCAACCCACACUGCCCUGAACCACUCACUUUCUUUCUACUGAUCACUGACAAACUGUUCUUCUAUUGUCGGUGGAAACUCUACGAGAGAACAUUAUCUCACUAGAACUCAGUAAUCCCGAAGUGGAAGCUGAGAGUAUCGGAGAGACUGGUGCCAGCG